rnacentral:lncRNA from 1 species
GCCGCAGGGCAGGCGCCUGUCUGAGCGUCGAGCAGAGUCGAAGUGCUCGGAGGCCACACUGGGGCCGCUGCCUCCCAGGCCCCAGCACCCCGGUGCCUCCCAGGGAGCUGUGUUGGGUCAGGAGCGGCUGCUCCGGGGCUGCACAGCCUGGGGGCCGCUCACGGGCUCCCUCCCCUCCGACGACUGAGCUGGCCUCUCUGCUCUCGGUCCCUCCUCUGCGCUGCCGGGUGGCGAUGGCCCUCGCCCAGCGGUGCUGUGACGGUGCAGUGAGCCCAUCCGGUGAGCUGCUCGGAGCAGCCCGAACGUGUCGUGAGUGCUAUACAAACAGAUGCCACUGAGAAGGAUGUCACACGCCCCAGGCCUUCCCAGGGUGGAGUGGGGCCAGCCACCCCUCGCCUGACCCCUGGCCCUCUGUGAGCUGGCCCGCCUGCCAUCCAUCCUGCCCUCUGCCCUCUUCCCUCUGUCCCCUGCAGCCUCCCAGCCGCCCGGCCUCCCCAGGCUCUCCUGCCUUAGGAGCCUCUGCAAGGCGCCUCGGCUGCCUGGGACAGCUUCCCCACAGUGGGCCCACUGCCCCUUCCCUCAGCACCCAGCUCAGGCGUCCGUCCUCCAGGAAGCCAUGACACCGUGACAGGCCAGCCUCACAACGCCAGCAGAGGGUUUGAAGAAACGGAGCCUCGGACCGGGGCCACUGGCUCAGGGUUGGCGUGCGUGAAGGAUACAAAAUUCCCGGGAAAAGCCUACAGCUGGAGUGAAGUGUGCCACGUUCCUGCUACUUCUCCAGCUGUGCUGGGGGACAUCAGGCUGAGGACCAGCGGUGUGGGCAUCCUGCUCCACAGGCUGGGUUCCCAUGCCGGCCUCCGGUGCAGGACCUGUCAUCUCCCUCAGCGUCCGUUUCCUCAUCUGUACGAUGGAGCCCGUGAAGCUAGCCUGCACUGUUGGCAGAGCUGGAGAAUGUGGACGCCUGACUCCCAGCACAGUGCCGGUGGCCGUGGGAAUGGUGACGCCGACGCAGCAACGCGGGCACUGGACACUCUCGGAGGACCACUUGCCAGGCGGCUGAGCGGGUCAGGCCAGGCAUCAUGGGCAGAACAGGGGCCACAUACUCCCUGUGCUUAAAGGUCACGGUCAAGACACACCUCUUCCACGAAGCCCUCCUGAGUUCUCCCAGCCCUCACUGUGGGUCCUCCUUCAGGCUUCUAGCCCCAUGUCAUCUCUUCCACCCUCUUCAGCUCCGAAGUAUUGCAGAGGGUAUUUGUUGUUGGGGUGGGGAGGGGACCGCCCAGCAUAUUUACCCCCCUCCCUAUUUGUGAGUAAGGCCCCUUCAUGUGAGUAUUGGCAGGAGAUAAGCCACCUACUGGGGAAGCUGAACGGGCAGAUGUUCCCUCACCCAGUACCUGAGCAAAGGGACCCAGGCUUGGCCAAAGGGACCCUCCCAUCCAGGACUCAGAAUCUCAAGUGGUGACGUCACGCACAGGAAGAGUCGGACUCCCUUCGCCAUGGCAGCGUGCGCCAGCGGCAGCAGCAGUCCAGGGCCCAGCCCCCGGGGUGGACUCUGCCCAGAGGACUGGUGGCCUUUCUCGGCUCCGGACCACUUCCUGAGCCUUGUUCCCCACCUUCCUGUUGAUUCUGAGUUUCUGGGCAGCCGGAGUUGAGUUUCUGUUGUUUGCCCUCAACACUCACAUUUGUCUUUGCUGAUACCAACUGGUCCAGGUGAGCAAAUAAUCUUCCCCAGCUGGCCUACACCCACGGGGGAGAGAAAUGCUGCCUUGCACGCUGGCCUGUCUCCCGCCAGAUGCCUCGUCAUCCCGUGUGGGGGAUGCUCUGAUUGUCACGCAGACCUGGGACAGGAUCCAGCUUCUGCCACUUGCGGAAUCUGGGGCUCCGAGGAGUUGUUCAGUCACCACGAGCCUUGGUCUUCUCAUCCGUAAACGGCCAUAAAGACGCCUACUUCCUAGGGCCCGGGGGUCGGCUUGAGUAUCAUGACGGAGGCGGAGAAUGGGACUUAGGCUGCUCACGAACCAGCUCCUCCAGCUGGGACUGGUCUGGGAAUGGGGACAGGAGACGGGACAGGGUGAGGCUCUGGGAUGGGGGUGGGAGCCGAACUCUGAGAGCCGUGGUGGGCAGAGGCAGGGCACCUGCUAAUUAAUUCGGUUUUUCUCUUUGUUAGAUUUUCACUUUACCAUCUUUGUUACUUAAGCAUUAUUUCUUGGUUGAAAUUCCCAAAGGUUUAUAUUUCCUUUCCCCCAAAUAAAACGUGAG